UCUGCAUAGAGCGAAUUGAAGGUGCGAGAUAUCCAAUCAUCACACGGUGGUGAUGGUGCAUAUAUGAUAAGGUGCAGUAGGGGGGCCUAGUGCAGCCGAACUCGCUGUAAGGAUUGGCAAGGGUAAGGAGGAUACAAUGAAGGAGGACUGUAAAGGGAAGAGCUUUCAGUCGUAAAUUUACAGAAAAAAUCUAGUUAGGAGAGAAGGAAUUCGCCUUUGAAUAUGAUACUUCGAAUGGGAAAGAUGAAUGGCAUAAAUAUGGCGGAAUUUUCAUCCUAAUACAGCCUCGUUACUUCUCUUUAAACCCAUUUAAUGAAUCGCUGAAUAUUGCCUAAUACUAAGCUUGUGAUCGGGCGGUUUCACUGUAAGGUGAUUGGAACGUGGCAUGGACUAUGAUAGUGAAACCCUGGCCUAUCGUAAGUGGGGGGAGUGGGGGACUCCCCGAUGCAUUGAUAAGUGUGACCCAAAAAAACAAGCGCUAAUUCAAUGCGCUAAAAUACGAUAAAGGUGCAUAGUGACACGCGUUAGAUCAUGGUAUAUGAGUAGCAAUAUUGUAGCAGAGGAAUAAUAGGGUUGGUAGUAAACGAGUAUAUACAGUGUUUAUAAACCGAAAGUCGAAUAGUAGGAAAAAUAGCAGUGAUGAGAGUCGAAAGACGAACAUCAAUAAUUUUUGUUUCUGUUUGACUUUUGAUCGUUGUUUAUGGACUUUUCCGUUUUUCAGUCAGCAGUGGUAAUUUGUGUUUACACUCGUAUGCCUUGUAUGCCCAGAACUAAAGCUCAUCUAAGCAAUCCCUA